GAAAUGCCUCAAUAAGAUCCAGCUGUAAGGCAUUUUCUCAAUUAGUGAUCAACGGGGAAUGGGCUAGUUCAUGGUAGGUGAUGCCAUCUCUGGGCUGGUAGUCCUG
rnacentral:miRNA from 1 species